UAGUGGGGGCGUCGACAUGAAGCAGAGAAAGAAGAGGGAACAAAGACCCGGACCCCAAAUGAGAGCUGCAGUUUACUGGGAAUGAAAGAAAACUGCUUGAUGUGAGCGUUAACGAGUCGCUGGUGCCGUUUACUAGCGCGGUUUACUCGCCGCUCAUUAAGUGGCAGGCAAACAAUGGCAUGAGCCCAUUCUGGGCUCCUCCAAUGUCACUCCUAUUAGCAUGCUAAAUUAGCCGCCCCCUCCCUGCGUUAUUAUAUUCAUAAACUGGUCUCUCGGGCGUUGGUGCUCGCCUCCCACGCACAUUCCGACGCUUUUUAGUCAUAUCUUUAAAUUCCUUUUUGUUAUGAUGAGUUGAUUUUUUGGGGGUUUGUUUUCAGCCUACACAAAUAAGAAUUCAGCAGGAAAACAUUCAAAAAAGUGACGCAUUGGACUGAUUUCCAGCGUCAAGCGUGUCACUCACUGAGAGUGCAACGCAGUCCCUGGCGAUGUCAUCUUGGCGCUUUCAAAGGCUUACGAGAAGAAAUGGUCAGGUCCCCAUCGUUCCGAUGACCCUCGGACGAAUUCCAGCGAGGCAGCUUGAUGGAAACGAGCGGCCCGACAGCGCAUUCAAGGCUCCUCCGUCUGGGAACGUUCGACGAUCUAGUUAUCUGCCGGUAAUUCUGCAGCACGUCACCGGCGAGGAGUAUUACAUCACUGUCAGGUUAGCGCGUCUUCUUCUUUUUCUUCUUUGCUGUCCGUCUGUUUUUUUUCCUCAGGAAAGUUGUCCCCGCGGGAGGCCGCCAACUGGAGCGUGAAAGCAGGAGGUGGCGGCGGGCCGCGGCAGGUAGAUGCCGCUUCAGCUCACCUGCUCCCAAAUCCGAUCCGACAGGCGGCGGUGCACGUACUUUGCCACUGUACUUUGUCAGGUAUCCGUACUUUACCUGAGCGUUCUCUGCGAAUAAUGUAUUUCCAUACAGCUAUCUAUGACAGCGAUGAAGCGAGAGCUCAGAGUGAGCACUCGCACCUCGUUUGCCGACAGCUAGCCGAAAGGGGGCGUGGCUAGGGCGAGAUCUGAGGGCCGGCUAAUGAUCGUCAACGGACUCCUCCUGUCUAAACCGCCAGAGAGUUGGGAUCAUUUUCCUCUGAGAUGAUGCAAGCCAAUUGAAUUCGGGCGCAACGACACACACGCACUUUGUGAUCGUCAGUGGCUGCUUACGAGGCUUCCACGCAUCUUAAAGAGCCUGCGCUUCAUCAAAGACGGAUAUUCAUUGUAGCGUCGUUUCAACGGCUCGUCGUGAACGAGACACGCGGCGGCCAUUUUUGGUUGAAUUUAAAAAAAGAAAACCAUUUUUAAAUUCAUCGACCAAUGACCUGGCCCGUCUAGCGUUUAGAAAAAUCCAAGUGUAUCCGCCCCUGACUGAGACGGUUAACCGUGAUCAAGGGUCCUCGCGCCUGUCAGGGCUGCCUGGUGCACUCGCCCGCUCAAAAGGAGUCAAAGUGACAGAAUGGAAAGCUCAUCGGCGGCUCGUCACCGCGUCCAAUCAACUCAUCAGGCAACAAUGUUUAAUCCGACGUGUUUAAAAUCUACAAGAGGAGACGGGCGGAGCACCUGCUUUCCCCGUCAAUGGAGAACUUUAUAAGGUGUAUUAAACAUUAAAAUUUCCCACUUGUACUGUAGUGUUUCCAUGCUAUAUCGCAGUUCAUCGUUUGCACCUCUGCUAUAUCGUAGAUUUUUAAGCUCCAGGAAUUGCCGUCGUUCCCAAAGAGCAGUGCGAAUAUAUGCUUUUGAAGAGGUUUGUAUGCUUCGUUUGUAUGUUGGUGCUCUGUGCGUGUUAAAGUAGAAGUUGUUUGACAGUUUUAAAUUACUGUAAUAUCAAUGCUAAUUUCCAUUAUCCGGUCUAUGGCAUUUCACACUGCAUGUUAGCAUUAAGCUAGUGGACUUUUGUUAGCCGAAAUAAUAUGGUUUGUUUGAACAUUUUGGUAUUUAAAUAUACCAUAUUUAAUUGUCUUUUGUUUUACGUGUAACUUUUAGGAAACUUUCUUGGAGUUUAAAUGUGUUUUGUAAGUGAAGUUUUAUAAUGUGUGGGAAGGGUAAAACUAUGAAAACUUUUUAUCUAGGGUCUCUCCAUAUUUUCACAUUUUGUGUGUGGGUCUACAAUAUAGCCCCUACAUUAAAUGCGGUUUCACUGUAUAACUGUAUAACUAGUUUAGUUAGCUAGCUUAGAUUACUAGCGUCAGAGAUAAUAACUAGGCCUCAGGUUAGUAGCAUACUGUUACCAUUUCUGGCCAAGCUUGCUUGAAAUACAAAUAAAUGUGUCAAAUUGGUAGAGUAGGAUUAGCAAUUUAUGUAACAAGACACGUAGCUAGCUUCGUUAGCUUAGCUGGCUACAGUCGCAUCUGCUAUGGGUAGUAACUUCGCCUAACGUUAGUCGAGUAGCAUUUUGUUUUUUAAAGUGUGCUUAACAUUUUUUUGUUAACAAGCUCAACGUUAAAGCUUUAUUAGCUUAUCUAGUUAAGAUAGCACUAGGGAUAGUAACUUGGCCUCACUUUAGUAGCAUCAUGUUAACGUUUUGGUUUACAAGCUAAGUAGCUAGACAUGAACUUGGCUGGCUUCGCUUGCUCCCGCCACAGAUAGUAACUAGGCCUCAUGUUCAUAAAAAAAUGUUACCAUUUCUGGCUUAGCGACUUGGCUUGUUAACCUAAAAGCAAAACGUUACACUACUCUGCCCAAACAGGACAGACAUUUCUCCCUCCUUUUUAGACUGAUUUGGAAGCGCAGCCCCGUGGAAGCACACCACGCUAGCUUUUAGCACUUCACCGAGUCUCCACGGAAAAGCAGGAGAAGGAUGGAAAGUGCGGGAAAAGAAAGAGGGCAUCCCAUUAAUCUGUGUCAGUGCAUCAUCUAAUGGCUGCCAUGUCGUAAAAGCUCCUCACAUGAAAAAAUAAAAAUAAAAAAUCCCCAAAACGUUUUGCGCAAAUUUCUGGGGAUCUGUGAGUGACCUUAUGUGGCUAAAACUUUGUAGCUUUUUAUUCAUGAAUGAAUCUCUCUCAAUGCUCUGAUGCACAAAUGCUCUCUCAAAGAUCUUUUUUCUUUUUUUUUUUUUAAAUAUCAAUUAUUGGAUUCUGUCAGGAACAGCCAGAGUGUGGUGCGUGCUGUGCCCACGACACAACCUUAUUCGGGUAGUACAUGGAUCGUUAUGAUUGGAAGUAACCGUGAUGAGCAUGCGCCAACUUUGUCGGGAUAUUGAAGAGAAGUGUGUGGCAGUCAUUAGAAAUGCAGAUAUUUUUAGAAUCGAUUAUUCUACCGAUUACCCCAUCGACUAUCCAUCCAGCCAUUGUCUGAGCCCAUCGACUAAUUGACUAAAACAUUAUUUUGUAUUAUUGAACCACACAAUGUACAUGGGAGGUGAAGGUAUUAUUAUUGUCCACUUGGUGUCGCCAUCCUCACAGUGUAGACUGUAUUAUCUGUGACUUUGUGUGUGUACACGUGGGAGUCAUCGAAUGAAACUUGAAUUUGCCGUUAGUGGCUAGCUGUUAACUGACUAAGGGUGUCAGUUGCGGCCUUUGUCUACGAAUGUUUACUACAUGUUAAUUUUGUUACAGUUUGUUCAGUAAAGCAAUUGAAAGACA